rnacentral:rRNA from 1 species
UGAGGAAUAUUGCACAAUGGGCGAAAGCCUGAUGCAGCGACGCCGCGUGGGCGAAGAAGGGUUUCGGCCUGUAAAGCCCUUUUCUGUGUGACGAGGAAGGACGGUAGCACAGGAAAAAGUGUCGGCUAACUACGUGCCAGCAGCCGCGGUAAAACGUAGGACGCAAGCGUUAUCCGGAGUUACUGGGCGUAAAGAGCGCGCAGGCGGGUUGUUAAGUUCUGCAUGAAAGCUCCUGGCUAAACUGGGAGAGGAUGGAGGAUACUGACAGCCUAGAGUGAGGAAGAGGAAGGUGGAAUUCCGCGUGUAGUGGUGAAAUGCGUAGAGAUGCGGAGGAACACCAGUGGCGAAGGCGGCCUUCUGGUCCUCAACUGACGCUGAGGCGCGAAAGCAUGGGUAGCGAACGGGAUUAGAAACCCGAGUAG